AACGCGAAGAACCUUACCAGGGCUUGACAUGCGGGGUGAAGCCGUAGAAAUACGGUCCUCCUUCGGGAGCCCGCACAGGUGCUGCAUGGCCGUCGUCAGCUCGUGCCGUGAGGUGUUGCCUUAAGUGGCGCAACGAGCGCAACCCCUGUCCCAUGUUGCCAGCGGGUCAUGCCGGGGACUCAUGGGAGACUGCCGGUGCCAAACCGGAGGAAGGUGGGGAUGACGUCAGGUCAUCAUGGCCCUUACGUCCUGGGCUGCACACAUGCUACAAUGCUUGCUACAAAGGGAAGCAAUCCCGCAAGGGGGAGCGAAUCCCAAAAAGGCAAGCUCAGUUCGGAUCGGGGUCUGCAACUCGACCCCGUGAAGUCGGAGUCGCUAGUAAUCGCGGAUCAGCAACGCCGCGGUGAAUACGUUCCCGGGCCUUGUACACACCG
rnacentral:rRNA from 1 species